rnacentral:rRNA from 1 species
AGUGAACGCUGGCGGUAGGCCUAACACAUGCAAGUCGAACGGCAGCACAGUAAGAGCUUGCUCUUACGGGUGGCGAGUGGCGGACGGGUGAGGAAUACAUCGGAAUCUACUUUUUCGUGGGGGAUAACGUAGGGAAACUUACGCUAAUACCGCAUACAACCUCCGGGUGAAAGCAGGGGUUCUUCGGACCUUGCGCGAUGGAUUAAGCCGAUGUCGGAUUAGCUAGUUGGCGGGGUAAAGGCCCACCAAGGCGACGAUCCGUAGCUGGUCUGAGAGGAUGAUCAGCCACACUGGAACUGAGACACGGUCCAGACUCCUACGGGAGGCAGCAGUGGGGAAUAUUGGACAAUGGGCGCAAGCCUGAUCCAGCCAUACCGCGUGGGUGAAGAAGGCCCUCGGGUUGUAAAGCCCUUUUGUUGGGAAAGAAAAGCAGCAGGUUAAUACCCCGCUGUUCUGACGGUACCCAAAGAAUAAGCACCGGCUAACUUCGUG